rnacentral:rRNA from 1 species
AACGCGAAGAACCUUACCUGGGUUUGACAUGUAUGGAUUAACUCUCUGAAAGGAGAGCCACGCCCUUUGGGUGGAACAUACACAGGUGCUGCAUGGCUGUCGUCAGCUCGUGCUGUGAAGUGUCGGGUUAAGUCCCUUAACGAGCGCAACCCCUAUCGCUAGUUACUAACGCGUCAUGGCGAGGACUCUAGCGAGACUGCCGGUGUCAAACCGGAGGAAGGCGGGGAUGACGUCAAGUCCUCAUGGCCCUUAUGGGCUGGGCUACACACGUGCUACAAUGGCGGUGACAAUGGGCAGCGAAGGGGCGACCCGGAGCCAAUCCCCAAAAGCCGUCUCAGUUCGGAUCGCACUCUGCAACUCGAGUGCGUGAAGGUGGAAUCGCUAGUAAUCGUGGAUCAGCAUGCCACGGUGAAUACGUUCCCGGGCCUUGUACACACCGCCCG